rnacentral:tRNA from 1 species
GGGGAAUUAGCUCAAGUGGUAGAGCGCUCGCUUAGCAUGUGAGAGGCAGCGGGAUCCAUGCCCGCAUUCUCCA